rnacentral:rRNA from 1 species
CGGAAGGGGCAAGCGUUGUUCGGAAUCAUUGGGCGUAAAGGGCGUGUAGGUGGUUCUGUAUGUCUAUCGUGAAAGCGUACGGCUCAACCGUAUUUAGUCGGUAGAAACUGCAGGACUUGAGGCUGGGAGGGGCUGGUGGAAUUCCCUGUGUAGCGGUGAAAUGCGUAGAGAUGGGGGAGAACACUCGUGGCGAAGGCGGCCAGCUAGACCAGUUCUGACACUGAGGCGCGACAGCGUGGGGAGCAAACAGGAUUAGAUACCCUGGUAGUCCACGCUGUAAACGAUGGGCACUAGGUGCUGGCGGUCUUGAUCCCGUCGGUGCCGGCGCUAACGCAGUAAGUGCCCCGCCUGGGGAGUACGGUCGCAAGGCUG